GGAAAAAAAAAAAAAAAAGAUCAUGGUACCACCUGAUUUUUUUUUUCUUAGAGCUAUUAGAAGAAUCACUUAGCAUAUGCGAUAGUGCUUCAGUUUUUAGUUUUAUUCUAAGGUGUAUUAGUUUCAGAAUUCUUGUAAAUAUAUGAGUUUAAGAGUGGAUGUAUUUUCUUAGUUGAGAGCCGCAGUUCUGUCUUUAAGUUCAUUUCUAGCAGAGGAUCUCAGUGGCCUUGUACACACUGGGCAGGGGCACGGCGGGGACUCUUAGUGGAGGGAGGCACUGAGUAGGUGUAACGAGUCAAAAGGGAGCGGCUUUUCAGCACAGUGUUCAGCAAACACUUGUAUACGGUCACUCUCAUGUUAUUUCUGGCAUUUUCUCCUUUGGUUCCCUGUAUUUGGAAGUUGUCUGAGAUUUGCCUUUGCAAAAGACUAGGUGACAUGAAUUAAGGCACAAGGAAGGUGGCUUCUUCCAGGAAGGUGUGUCUCUAAAUGAACAGAGUUUGCUGAGAAGGAAGGAUAUCCUGUGAACAUGAUUUUUAUUUGAAACCAGAGGAACUGGGGGAUCAAUUUAGUUUUAAACUAGAGGAAUUUCUUGAUUCUUUUAUGGCUCAGUGGUAAUAAACCUGACUAGUAUCCAUGAGGAUGCAGGUUUGAUCCCUGGCCUCAUUCAGUGGGUUAAGGAUCCGGUGCUGCCAUGAGCUGUGGUGUAGAUUGCAGAUGUGCCUCGGAUCCCACGUUGCUGUGGCUGUGGCAUAGGCCAACAGCUACAGCUCUUUUUCGACCCCUAGCCUGGGAACUUUGAUAUGCUGCUGGUGAGACCCUAAAAAAUAGCAAAAAAAAUAAAUAAAUAAAAAAUAAAAAAUAGGAGUUCCCAUUGUGGCGCAGUGGUUAACAAAUCCAACUGGGAACCAUGAUGUUUCGGGUUCCAUCCCUGGCCUCGCUCAGUGGGUUAAGGAUCCGGCGUUGCCGUGAGCUAUGGUGUAGGUUGCAGACGUGGCUUGGAUCCCGAGUUGCUGUGGCUGUGGUGUCGGCCGGCAGCUACAGCUCCGAUUAGACCCCUAGCCUGGGAACCUCCAUAUGCUGCAGGGAGCGGCCCUAGAAAAGGCAAAAAGACAAAAAUAAAAAAAAUAAAAAGUUAGGUCUGUUCUAAUUGCCUUUAAAUAUUUAAUUAAUAAAGAUCAGAAAGAAAUACUUUUUAAUAAAAGAACUCACAGAGUUCCCUAGGGUCCAGCGAUUGAGGGUCCAGCAUAAUCUCUAAUGUUAGAGAGUAGAAAACGUUUCACUCCGGAUGGAGCUGGGAAAUAUGGACGCUUGUCACGGCUUUGCCACUGCCAAGUUGUGUGUGGUUUCAACAGGAAUUUCUGGGCUGGAAUUGUCUCACUUGUAAAAUGAAGGGACUGGCUUACGUGGUCUCUACGCUUAGUCGUCUCCCCAAAUAAUUGAAGCUCCAUGGUACCUCUUCUGCAGACAGCUGGCCAGGUUUUUGUAGGGAGUGUGCAGUAGGAGGCAAAGCAUGGCUUAGCGUCUGCAGUAGAGAAGCCAGGAAGGUAAGAACCACAAAACACAAGGUGUUUGAGGGAGUUCCCGUUGUGCCUCAGCGGUAAGAACGAACCUGACUAGUAUCCAUGAGGAUGUGGAUUUGAUCCCUGGCUCAACUCAGUGGGUUAAGGAUCCACUGUUGCCAUGAGAUGUGGUGCAGGUCGCAGAUGUGGCUCGAUCUGGCGUGGCUGUGGCUGUGGCUGUGGCUGUGGCGUAGGCCAGCAGCUGUAGCUCUGGUUUGACCCCUAGCCUGGGAACCCCCAUAUGCUACAGGUAUGACCCUAGAAAAGACAAAAAAAGACAAAAAAGAGAUAAUAAGGUGUUUAAAUAGGUUUAAUUAAUACUUAUAUUUUUGUAGUAAAUGUGGAGAAACUGAUAUUAAUAAUGCAAGUGACCUACCAUUUGUCCCAUUGUUUCUUAUCCUUGUAGCCCAGUCUGGGAAGCUUUAACAGUUGUUGUAAUUAUCCUCGGAGUCUUGGUCAGAAGUAGAGGAGUAGUGUACUUAUAUCUCUGUUUGCUUCGGCCCCAGAAUGGCUCUUGCAAGAACAGAUCCUACUGUAUGCCCACCAGUUAUAAAGCCAUUUCCUUUGGCUUAUUCUCUCUAGUAUACUUGAUGGGUGCAGAGAGAUUUGGGGUUUGCACCUAGUUUGGUAUUAUUUUUUGAGAAGGAGUCAUUCGUUUAAUCAGUAUAGUAUAAUUUUAAAAAUAGCUGAUCACUGUAAAAUGAAGUUCAGUGAUUUUAGAGGCUCUCAAUUGUUAUGCUUUCUCCAUGUAAUAUGAUAGUUGCAAGUAAAAUGGACAGGAAACAAAAAAUGGAUUUCUAGAUGUUUGUGAUAUCUUUCUGUUACACAAAAUACACUUCCACCUAACCAGUAACUCCUCCAGUGUCUCCACAUUGGUAAGUGGAAUUACAGCAGGGAAGUAAAGAGCCUGGGCUUGAGAUCAGGCAUACUUGGUUGAAUCUUUGUACUACCAUUUACAAGUUAUAUUUCUGUUUGUUUUUUUGCCUCCAUUCAUUUAUUCAUUUGUUGAAAUUAAUUCAUCUAUCCGCCCAUCUAUUAUACUAUAAUUAAGUUUUUAUGAUGUGCAGGCCCUGUUGUAGAUACGGGAGAUAAAGUGUUUUAGCAGACAAAGUUUUUGUCCUUGAAGUUCCCUGGUGGUUCAGUGGGUUGAGAGUCCAGCUAUGUCACUGCUGUGGCAUGCCUGGGAACUUCCACAUGCUCUGGUUGUGG
ensembl:lncRNA